rnacentral:rRNA from 1 species
CGCACGGGUGAGUAACACGUGAGUGACCUGCCUUUUAGACUGGAACAACUUACCGAAAGGUGAGCUAAUGCCGGAUGAGUUAUAUAAGUGCAUGUUUAUAUAGGAAAAGUUGGGGAGACCUGACGCUGAAAGAUGGACUCGCGUCCCAUUAGCUAGUUGGUAGGGUAAUGGCCUACCAAGGCGACGAUGGGUAGCCGGCCUGAGAGGGUGGCCGGCCACACUGGGACUGAGACACGGCCCAGACUCCUACGGAAGGCAGCAG